GGUUAGGUGACCUGCGGAGGGAUCAUUACACAAAUAUGAAGGCGGGCUGGAACCUCUCGGGGUUACAGCCUUGCUGAAUUAUUCACCCUUGUCUUUUGCGUACUUCUUGUUUCCUUGGUGGGUUCGCCCACCACUAGGACAAACAUAAACCUUUUGUAAUUGCAAUCAGCGUCAGUAACAAAUUAAUAAUUACAACUUUCAACAACGGAUCUCUUGGUUCUGGCAUCGAUGAAGAACGCAGCGAAAUGCGAUAAGUAGUGUGAAUUGCAGAAUUCAGUGAAUCAUCGAAUCUUUGAACGCACAUUGCGCCCUUUGGUAUUCCAAAGGGCAUGCCUGUUCGAGCGUCAUUUGUACCCUCAAGCUUUGCUUGGUGUUGGGCGUCUUGUCUCUAGCUUUGCUGGAGACUCGCCUUAAAGUAAUUGGCAGCCGGCCUACUGGUUUCGGAGCGCAGCACAAGUCGCACUCUCUAUCAGCAAAGGUCUAGCAUCCAUUAAGCCUUUUUUUCAACUUUUGACCUCGGAUCAGGUAGGGAUACCCGCUGAACUUAA
rnacentral:rRNA from 1 species